UGAGUGCAGUAGAGGUAGGCGGAAUUCCUAGUGUAGCGGUGAAAUGCGUAGAUAUUAGGAGGAACACCAGUGGCGAAGGCGGCCUACUGGGCUGUAACUGACGCUGAGGCUCGAAAGCGUGGGUAGCAAACAGGAUUAGAUACCCUGGUAGUCCACGCCGUAAACGAUGAUUACUAGGUGUGGGGGGACUGACCCCUUCCGUGCCGGAGUUAACACAAUAAGUAAUCCACCUGGGGAGUACGACCGCAAGGUUGAAACUCAAAGGAAUUGACGGGGGCCCGCACAAGCAGUGGAGUAUGUGGUUUAAUUCGAAGCAACGCGAAGAACCUUACCAGGUCUUGACAUCGAGCGACGAACUUAGAGAUAAGUUCUUCCUUCGGGACGCGAAGACAGGUGGUGCAUGGUUGUCGUCAGCUCGUGUCGUGAGAUGUUGGGUUAAGUCCCGCAACGAGCGCAACCCUUAUCAUUAGUUGCUACGCAAGAGCACUCUAAUGAGACUGCCGUUGAUAAAACGGAGGAAGGUGGGGAUGACGUCAAAUCAUCAUGCCCCUUAUGACCUGGGCUACACACGUACUACAAUGGUGAUCAAACAGAGGGAAGCAACACAGCGAUGUGAAGCAAAUCCCGAAAAAUCAUCUCAGUUCAGAUUGUAGGCUGCAACUCGCCUGCAUGAAGUCGGAAUUGCUAGUAAUCGCGGAUCAGCAUGCCGCGGUGAAUACGUUCCCGGGCCUUGUACACACCGCCCGUCACACCAUGGGAGUCGGUAACACCCGAAGCCAGUAGCCUAACCGCAAGGAGGGCGCUGUCGAAGGUGGGAUUGAUGACUGGGGUGAAGUCGUAACAAGGUAACCA
rnacentral:rRNA from 1 species